rnacentral:ncRNA from 2 species
UAAUGAGCAGCGGGGAGCCGGAUGUAUCCGGCUGAGAGGAGGAUGUAAGUUCUCGACCCAUUGACCUGAUUUGGAUCAUGCCAACGUAGGAAGUGACUGUUAAGCAAGA